CCGGCGCACGGGUGAGUAACACGUAUCCAACCUGCCGUCUACUCUUGGCCAGCCUUCUGAAAGGAAGAUUAAUCCAGGAUGGGAUCAUGAGUUCGCAUGUCCGCAUGAUUAAAGGUAUUUUCCGGUAGACGAUGGGGAUGCGUUCCAUUAGAUAGUAGGCGGGGUAACGGCCCACCUAGUCAACGAUGGAUAGGGGUUCUGAGAGGAAGGUCCCCCACAUUGGAACUGAGACACGGUCCAA
rnacentral:rRNA from 1 species